CAACCACAAGAUGGCGUGAUUGGGCCAUGGCAAAGUAGUUUGUCCGGCCCAGGAAAGUCCCCGGGCCCUUAUCUGCAGAGAUGCAGGCCUGGAAACAGGUACGGCUUGGUGAAGAAAUCUAAACUCUUGGGUUUGGGCUGAGACAAGUGUGGAGCCUUCGGAUUUCUCUCAAGUCAAGUUGGCCGAUAACACAGUCAUUCACGUGGUCCAAUAAUGGAUUAACUGAACGGGGCUUACACUCUUGUGGUU
rnacentral:RNase_MRP_RNA from 2 species